UGAUGAGGGACGCACCCAGCCACCACCUGGAACCUUGAGCACCACGGUCUCGGGCACCUCCAUAACGGGAGGCAAGUAGUGGGGACACUAUUGGACAAUGGGGGAAACCCUGAUCCAGUCGACGCCGCGUGUGUGAAGCAAGGCCUGCAGGGUUGUCAAAGCACUUUUAGUGGGGACAAAAAGCUACGGACUAAUUACUCUGUGGUCUUGAUUUAACCCAUAAGAAAAAGCUACCGGCUAAUCUCUGUGCCAGCAGCCUGCGGGUAUACAGAGGGUGCGAGCGUUCAUCGGACAUUACUGGGCGUAAAGCGCGCGUAGACGGGUAUGUAACGUCUGACUGUGAAAUCCCCGGGCUCAACCUGGGAAUUGCAUUUGGACGACUGCAAGGGUACGAAUCUGGCAGCAGG
rnacentral:rRNA from 1 species